UACAGAGGUCUCAAGCGUUGUUCGGAUUUAUUGGGCGUAAAGGGCGCGUAGGCGGCGGGGUAAGUCGGGUGUGAAAUCUCAGGGCUCAACCCUGAAACUGCACUUGAUACUGCUCUGCUUGAGGACUGGAGAGGAGACUGGAAUUCACGGUGUAGCAGUGAAAUGCGUAGAUAUCGUGAGGAAGACCAGUGGCGAAGGCGGGUCUCUGGAACGCAACUGACGCUGAGACGCGAAAGCGUGGGGAGCAAACAGG
rnacentral:rRNA from 1 species